UAUAUACUCCCUCCGUCCGAAAAAACUUGUCAUCAAAAUGGACAAAAAUGGGUGUAUCUAGAACUAAAAUACAUCUAGAUACAUCCCCUUUUAUUCAUUUUGAUGACAAGUAUUUCCGGACGGAGGGAGUAGCUA
rnacentral:pre_miRNA from 1 species